CUUGCAGGAAGAAGAACUGGCGGAGGUUGGGGUCUCUCAGCCAGGGUAGUACUAAUGCAACAGUGCUAGAUGUUGCUCAGACAGGUGGCCAUAAAGAGCGGGUACGUCAUAGUUCCUUUCCCAAUGUCAAAAAGCUUUAUGAAGAUGCCCAAAUGGCUCAUACAGUGAAGCUGUACCUGUCCAAUCUGAAGCUAGAAGUGAAUCAGAAGCGUCUUUGGAUAUUAUCACUAAACUGUGAGCUGCCAACCCACACACGUACUGCCAAGGUGAUUCAUGGACACCCCAAAAGGUUGAGGCGCACCAGGUCAGAAAAGCACGGAACUCGGUGUGUCUGCUGCCUUUGACAACCCUAUCCCAGCCAACACUCAGCAGCAA